GGGUUGUGAGGUUAAGCGACUAAGCGUACACGGUGGAUGCCCUGGCAGUCAGAGGCGAUGAAGGACGUGCUAAUCUGCGAUAAGCGUCGGUAAGGUGAUAUGAACCGUUAUAACCGGCGAUUUCCGAAUGGGGAAACCCAGUGUGUUUCGACACACUAUCAUUAACUGAAUCCAUAGGUUAAUGAGGCGAACCGGGGGAACUGAAACAUCUAAGUACCCCGAGGAAAAGAAAUCAACCGAGAUUCCCCCAGUAGCGGCGAGCGAACGGGGAGCAGCCCAGAGCCUGAAUCAGUGUGUGUGUUAGUGGAAGCGUCUGGAAAGGCGCGCGAUACAGGGUGACAGCCCCGUACACAAAAAUGCACAUACUGUGAGCUCGAUGAGUAGGGCGGGACACGUGGUAUCCUGUCUGAAUAUGGGGGGACCAUCCUCCAAGGCUAAAUACUCCUGACUGACCGAUAGUGAACCAGUACCGUGAGGGAAAGGCGAAAAGAACCCCGGCGAGGGGAGUGAAAAAGAACCUGAAACCGUGUACGUACAAGCAGUGGGAGCACGCUUCGGCGUGUGACUGCGUACCUUUUGUAUAAUGGGUCAGCGACUUAUAUUCUGUAGCAAGGUUAACCGAAUAGGGGAGCCGAAGGGAAACCGAGUCUUAACUGGGCGUUAAGUUGCAGGGUAUAGACCCGAAACCCGGUGAUCUAGCCAUGGGCAGGUUGAAGGUUGGGUAACACUAACUGGAGGACCGAACCGACUAAUGUUGAAAAAUUAGCGGAUGACUUGUGGCUGGGGGUGAAAGGCCAAUCAAACCGGGAGAUAGCUGGUUCUCCCCGAAAGCUAUUUAGGUAGCGCCUCGUGAAUUCAUCUCCGGGGGUAGAGCACUGUUUCGGCAAGGGGGUCAUCCCGACUUACCAACCCGAUGCAAACUGCGAAUACCGGAGAAUGUUAUUACGGGAGACACACGGCGGGUGCUAACGUCCGUCGUGAAGAGGGAAACAACCCAGACCGCCAGCUAAGGUCCCAAAGUCAUGGUUAAGUGGGAAACGAUGUGGGAAGGCCCAGACAGCCAGGAUGUUGGCUUAGAAGCAGCCAUCAUUUAAAGAAAGCGUAAUAGCUCACUGGUCGAGUCGGCCUGCGCGGAAGAUGUAACGGGGCUAAACCAUGCACCGAAGCUGCGGCAGCGACACUAUGUGUUGUUGGGUAGGGGAGCGUUCUGUAAGCCUGUGAAGGUGUGCUGUGAGGCAUGCUGGAGGUAUCAGAAGUGCGAAUGCUGACAUAAGUAACGAUAAAGCGGGUGAAAAGCCCGCUCGCCGGAAGACCAAGGGUUCCUGUCCAACGUUAAUCGGGGCAGGGUGAGUCGACCCCUAAGGCGAGGCCGAAAGGCGUAGUCGAUGGGAAACAGGUUAAUAUUCCUGUACUUGGUGUUACUGCGAAGGGGGGACGGAGAAGGCUAUGUUGGCCGGGCGACGGUUGUCCCGGUUUAAGCGUGUAGGCUGAUUUUCCAGGCAAAUCCGGAAAAUCAAGGCUGAGGCGUGAUGACGAGGCACUACGGUGCUGAAGCAACAAAUGCCCUGCUUCCAGGAAAAGCCUCUAAGCAUCAGGUAACAUCAAAUCGUACCCCAAACCGACACAGGUGGUCAGGUAGAGAAUACCAAGGCGCUUGAGAGAACUCGGGUGAAGGAACUAGGCAAAAUGGUGCCGUAACUUCGGGAGAAGGCACGCUGAUAUGUAGGUGAAGCGACUUGCUCGUGGAGCUGAAAUCAGUCGAAGAUACCAGCUGGCUGCAACUGUUUAUUAAAAACACAGCACUGUGCAAACACGAAAGUGGACGUAUACGGUGUGACGCCUGCCCGGUGCCGGAAGGUUAAUUGAUGGGGUUAGCGGUAACGCGAAGCUCUUGAUCGAAGCCCCGGUAAACGGCGGCCGUAACUAUAACGGUCCUAAGGUAGCGAAAUUCCUUGUCGGGUAAGUUCCGACCUGCACGAAUGGCGUAAUGAUGGCCAGGCUGUCUCCACCCGAGACUCAGUGAAAUUGAACUCGCUGUGAAGAUGCAGUGUACCCGCGGCAAGACGGAAAGACCCCGUGAACCUUUACUAUAGCUUGACACUGAACAUUGAGCCUUGAUGUGUAGGAUAGGUGGGAGGCUUUGAAGUGUGGACGCCAGUCUGCAUGGAGCCGACCUUGAAAUACCACCCUUUAAUGUUUGAUGUUCUAACGUUGGCCCCUGAUCGGGGUUGCGGACAGUGUCUGGUGGGUAGUUUGACUGGGGCGGUCUCCUCCUAAAGAGUAACGGAGGAGCACGAAGGUUGGCUAAUCCUGGUCGGACAUCAGGAGGUUAGUGCAAUGGCAUAAGCCAGCUUGACUGCGAGCGUGACGGCGCGAGCAGGUGCGAAAGCAGGUCAUAGUGAUCCGGUGGUUCUGAAUGGAAGGGCCAUCGCUCAACGGAUAAAAGGUACUCCGGGGAUAACAGGCUGAUACCGCCCAAGAGUUCAUAUCGACGGCGGUGUUUGGCACCUCGAUGUCGGCUCAUCACAUCCUGGGGCUGAAGUAGGUCCCAAGGGUAUGGCUGUUCGCCAUUUAAAGUGGUACGCGAGCUGGGUUUAGAACGUCGUGAGACAGUUCGGUCCCUAUCUGCCGUGGGCGCUGGAGAACUGAGGGGGGCUGCUCCUAGUACGAGAGGACCGGAGUGGACGCAUCACUGGUGUUCGGGUUGUCAUGCCAAUGGCACUGCCCGGUAGCUAAAUGCGGAAGAGAUAAGUGCUGAAAGCAUCUAAGCACGAAACUUGCCCCGAGAUGAGUUCUCCCUGACUCCUUGAGAGUCCUGAAGGAACGUUGAAGACGACGACGUUGAUAGGCCGGGUGUGUAAGCGCAGCGAUGCGUUGAGCUAACCGGUACUAAUGAACCGUGAGGCUUAACCUUACAACGCCGAAG
rnacentral:rRNA from 1 species